AUAGGCUCCCUCUGUCCGCUGUGAAGGAGCUGGCAGGAGUGCGAGGGUGCAGGCAGCAAGCACCAGGGAAAGCAGGCCUGUCAAGCCCAUCACUGUGGACGCCUGGUAACUUAAUCUGGGGACUAUCAGAGAAGCAAACAAGUCUGCUAAUGCUUCGGGCCCUUCCCACAGAAGUAAACCUUUGGCACCUGGUUGAUCACCAGCAGUGUGGGCCUUGGGCAGUUCCCUCUCUCCCCAGUCGUGCUUGGGCUUGAACCCUUCCUUGCACACCACCAGUGGCUUCCCAGCUCUAAAAUUAAGAAGAAAAGGACUAAAAGUUUGGAUUUGCAACAGCUGUCAACUUUCCAGUGAGGCAGGGGGAAAUAGAAUACUUUCUCAUGAAGAGCUUCACAAGCUGAGAUGUCAAGAGGAAAUUGGCUUCCUAGACUAUUAUGUACAAAUGAGAUCAUCCAGAAAAUCAGAAAAUAUCUGUUACAUAAUGGAGUG